GAUGAACGCUGGCGGCGUGCCUAAUACAUGCAAGUCGAGCGAACAGACGAGGAGCUUGCUCCUCUGACGUUAGCGGCGGACGGGUGAGUAACACGUGGAUAACCUACCUAUAAGACUGGGAUAACUUCGGGAAACCGGAGCUAAUACCGGAUAAUAUAUUGAACCGCAUGGUUCAAUAGUGAAAGACGGUUUUGCUGUCACUUAUAGAUGGAUCCGCGCCGCAUUAGCUAGUUGGUAAGGUAACGGCUUACCAAGGCAACGAUGCGUAGCCGACCGGAGAGGGGGAUCGCCCACACGGGAACUGAGACACGGUCCAGACUCCUAAGGGAGGCAGCAGUAGGGAAUCUUCCGCAAUGGGCGAAAGCCUGACGGAGCAACGCCGCGUGAGUGAUGAAGGUCUUCGGAUCGUAAAACUCUGUUAUUAGGGAAGAACAAAUGUGUAAGUAACUAUGCACGUCUUGACGGUACCUAAUCAGAAAGCCACGGCUAACUACGUG
rnacentral:rRNA from 1 species